rnacentral:rRNA from 1 species
AUACGGAGGGUGCAAACGUUGUUCGGAAUCACUGGGCGUAAAGGGCGCGCAGGCGGUUUGAUUAGUCAGAUGUGAAAGCCCACGGCUUAACCGUGGAAGUGCAUUUGAAACUGUCAGACUUGAGUACCAGAGGGGGUAGUGGAAUUCCCGGUGUAGAGGUGAAAUUCGUAGAUAUCGGGAGGAAUACCGGUGGCGAAGGCGACUACCUGGCUGGAUACUGACGCCGAGGCGCGAAAGCGUGGGGAGCAAACAGGAUUAGAUACCCUAGUAGUCC